AUUUAGAGGUGUCAGAAAAGUACCAAAGGGAGUAACUGGCUUGUGGCCGCAGAGAGCUCAAAUCGACGUGGCUUUUUGAUUCUUCGAUGUCGGCUCUUCCUAUCCAAGAGAAGCAGUAAUUCUCUCAGGGUGUGAUUGUCACCACUAAAAGGGAACGUGAGCUGGGUUUAGACCGUCGUGAGACAGGUUAGUUUUACCCUACUGUCGGUUUCAUUUGAAUUAGCGCCACUUCGGUGGCCUACAUUUACAUAAUGGCUAUGUAACGGAAACACGAUUUAGUACGAGAGGAACCAUCGUUUCGCACUUCAAGUAACGCCAUUCGCUGAACAGCGAGUGUGGCAAAAGCCUCGUGCGCUGAAGUAUAAUUGAACGCCUCUAAAUUAUAAAUCACUCCAGAAACUUGUAGCCACGC
rnacentral:rRNA from 1 species